UUUUUAGUAUAAGUAUGUCUCAUUCAAUAUUUGGAAUAUAGUUAUACUAAAA
rnacentral:pre_miRNA from 1 species